rnacentral:rRNA from 1 species
AUUGAACGCUGGCGGCAUGCUUUACACAUGCAAGUCGAGCGGGGUGAUGGUGCUUGCACUAUCACUUAGCGGCGGACGGGUGAGUAAUGCUUAGGAAUCUGCCUAUUAGUGGGGGACAACAUCUCGAAAGGGAUGCUAAUACCGCAUACGUCCUACGGGAGAAAGCAGGGGAUCACUUGUGACCUUGCGCUAAUAGAUGAGCCUAAGUCGGAUUAGCUAGUUGGUGGGGUAAAGGCCUACCAAGGCGACGAUCUGUAGCGGGUCUGAGAGGAUGAGCCGCCACACUGGGACUGAGACACGGCCCAGACUCCUCCGGGAGGCAGCAGUGGGGAAUAUAGGACAAUGGGGGGAACCCUGAUCCAGCCAUGCCGCGUGUGUGAAGAAGGCCUUAUGGUUGUAAAGCACUUUAAGCGAGGAGGAGGCUCUUUUGGUUAAUACCCAAGAUGAGUGGACGUUACUCGCAGAAUAAGCACCGGCUAACUCUGUGCCAGCAGCCGCCGUAA